GUGGGGAAUCUUGCGCAAUGGGCGAAAGCCUGACGCAGCGACGCCGCGUGAGUGAUGAAGGCCCUCGGGUUGUAAAGCUCUGUGGGGAGAGACGAAUAAGGGCCGGCUAAUACCCGGCUCGAUGACGGUAUCUCCUUAGCAAGCACCGGCUAACUCUGUGCCAGCAGCCGCGGUAAGACAGAGGGUGCAAACGUUGUUCGGAAUUACUGGGCGUAAAGCGCGUGUAGGCGGCUGCGCAAGUCGGAUGUGAAAUCCCGUGGCUCAACCACGGAAGUGCACCCGAAACUGCGUAGCUCGAGUCUCGGAGAGGAAGGUGGAAUGCUUGGUGUAGAGGUGAAAUUCGUAGAUAUCAAGCGGAACACCGGUGGCGAAGGCGGCCUUCUGGACGAUGACUGACGCUGAGACGCGAAAGCGUGGGGAGCAAACAGGAUUAGAAACCCUGGUAGUCC
rnacentral:rRNA from 1 species